rnacentral:lncRNA from 1 species
AGACAACGAUGGGUCUACCCACAUGCUGAAAGAUGGAGUAAAAGGAGAUCAUGAAGAUUUCAGUGAUACCAUACUCCCUGCAGGAGGAGGGACUAAGAGGGUUACAGAACAGAUUUACAAGCCCUGGAGAGAUAACAAGGUGAAUGCACCUUUGCAGUCAUUAAUCCAUAACUGCCUUCACAUCUGCUGUCUCUCACUGAAACUUGGGCAAGGACAGUUUGAGUCACUGUGAUACCAGUAACAGUCACUCCUUUUCAGAGAAGGAAGUGCUAAUAAGAGCUCACUUGAGGCACAACAGCUUAGCAGAAAUGAAGGCCAGAAAGCAGACACAUAAUUGCUGUGAGUGAGAAUAGAGAAGCCAAAAAGAACAUGUGAGAAGUUUCCCUUGUGAGCAGUGCUCUGUGAGUGAUGCACAUCAGCAGUCACACUACUGUCUGAGACGGGAGCUACCCAACAUCCAGGACUGCCCCAGGGAUCCUGCUUCCCCUCCCAAAGCAGCUCACUUGGAGCUGGGGAUGGGUCCAUGGUUGCAGCAUGGGAGAGGAGAGAUAGAAAGGAGAGACAGCCCUGGGAAAAGGAAAUGCCUGAGAAAUAUCACAGAUGCUGGUAGGAAUUCCACAUGGAGACAGUCCAUCGCACGCUCCGCAGAUACAUGAGCUCUGACAACCCAUCCUGCUCAUCCAGGGGAAAUCUCAAGUGGCAUUUCAAAGCAGAGCACCCUCAGGCUCUCGGGAACUCUCCUGGAAAAAUAUCAGGGCAUUUGCUUCCAC